rnacentral:rRNA from 1 species
GUCUUUUUGAUUUAUAUUUAUUUAAAGUCUAAUCUGCUCACUGAAUUAAAAUUUAAAGAGCCGCAGUAUUUUAACUGUGCAAAGGUAGCAUAAUAAUUUGUUUUUUAAUUGAAAACUAGAAUGAAUGAUUGAACGAGAUAUAUUCUGUCUCAAUUUUAAUUUAAUAUAAAUUAAUUUUUUAGUUAAAAAGCUAAAAUUAAUUUAAAAGACGAGAAGACCCUAUAGAUUUUUAUAUAAUUAUUUAUUAAUUUAUAUAUAUGUAUAUAAUAUUUAUAUUUAUAGGUAAUUAUAUUUUAUUGGGGUAAUAAAAAAAUAAAAUUAACUUUUAUAAAAUAAAAACAUAAAUUAAUGAAAAUUUGAUCCAAAUUUAAUGAUUAAAAGAUUAAAUUACCUUAGGGAUAACAGCGUAAUUUUAAUUUUAAGUUCUUAUUGAAAUUAAAGAUUGCGACCUCGAUGUUGGAUUAAGAAAAAUUUUAAAAGAAGAUUUUUAAAUUUUAGGUCUGUUCG